rnacentral:rRNA from 1 species
CAAUAGCGUAUAUUAAAGUUGUUGCAGUUAAAAAGCUCGUAGUUGAAUUUCGGGUGCUCGUAGUCGGUCCUUCAUUGGGCUGGCGCGUGUGCUCUCCCCGCCUUUGGCGGCCUUUACUGUGAAAAAAUUAGAGUGUUCAAAGCAGGCAAUCGCUUGAAUACAUUAGCAUGGAAUAAUAAGAUAGGAUCUUGUCUAUUUUGUUGGUUGCGGACAAAGAUAAUGAUUAAUAGGGAUAGUUGGGGGUGUCCGUAUUGAGCUGUCAGAGGUGAAAUUCUUGGAUUUGCUCAAGACGAACUGCUGCGAAAGCGUUCACCAAGGAUGUUUUCAUUAA